GACGAACGCUGGCGGCGCGCUUAACACAUGCAAGUCGAACGAGAAUCUGUGGAUCGAGGAUUCGUCCAAGUGAAGCAGAGGACAGUGGCGGACGGGUGAGUAACGCGUGAGGAACCUGCCUUUCAGAGGGGGACAACAGUUGGAAACGACUGCUAAUACCGCAUGAUACAUUUGGGUGGCAUCAUCUGAAUGUCAAAGAUUUAUCGCUGAAAGAUGGCCUCGCGUCUGAUUAGCUGGUUGGUGAGGUAACGGCCCACCAAGGCGACGAUCAGUAGCCGGACUGAGAGGUUGACCGGCCACAUUGGGACUGAGAUACGGCCCAGACUCCUACGGGAGGCAGCAGUGGGGAAUAUUGGGCAAUGGGCGCAAGCCUGACCCAGCAACGCCGCGUGAAGGAAGAAGGCUUUCGGGUUGUAAACUUCUUUUAAGAGGGAAGAGCAGAAGACUGUACCUCUAGAAUAAGCCACGGCUAACUACGUGCCAGCCGCCGCGGUAA
rnacentral:rRNA from 1 species